CCUGCACGGCUUUGCCGCAGGUCGGGAUGUGAUCCGCGGGGCAUGGCCCCGGUCGGGAUUGAACCAGGAA
rnacentral:ncRNA from 1 species